rnacentral:lncRNA from 1 species
GCGCUUCUUGCUGCCAACAUGUGAAGAAAGACGUGUUUGCUUCCCCUUCCACCAUGAUUGUAGUAAAAUCAACAAGGAAGGCGAUGAGCACAGCAGUGUGAAGCCCAUGAAAAAGUGGGCAAGUCUCUUCACAGCGUGGCGCCUGGGUUCCAAGGGGAAUCAUCCCAAGAGAGAACCAGGGAGAAACUGUAUCCACCUGCAAGAUCUAACAUCAGAAGUCAUAUAGAACACCAUUCCCUACUCUUAGCUAAGGAAGUCACAGAGAUCUGACUCCCUUCCUUCAAGGGAGGGAACCAUAGACUCUACUUGUGGGACUGGCUGGGUUCUGAUAGAAUAUGGACAUAUGACUUCAGCCAUUUUUGGAAAUUAUACUGUGCCACACCUUAACGUGUCAGAAGACGAGGACACUGUCAUAACUUUCAGUCAAUUGCUCAAACCAAAUAUCAAAGUAUUAUCCUGAA